GAAAGAAAAUAUACUUGACCUACUUCUCUCUCUCUCUCCUUCUCCCUAGACCUCAUGAUAGUGUUGAUAAAAUUUUGCCAAAAAGGAAAUUCACAGAACAAGCUAAUGGUCGGGAUGAUGUAUCAUUAAAGACAUCUAAACUCUCUCCUCCUCCUCCUCCUCCUCCUGAUGAUGUUGCUGUUAAAGAAGAGGUUGGUGUCAGUUCUUCCUCCAGUGCUCCGCUUGAUGUCCUCCUGAUGCCUCCUCCUCACUUACCUCCUCCCUCUUCAACUCUCUUGUCUUCAGUAAAGAAACCACCUCUCACUAUAAACCACUCUCAAACUGAUGCAGUAAAAGGAGCUCAUCCUCAGUCUCUUAUUCCUGUUCCCAUACCACCACAGUCUGGUACCAAUCCUCUCUCGGUCCUUAAAAAUACUUCAACUGCCACUAGUGCUCCUCCAGUACAGGCUGCUCCUUCUGUAGAUUCUUCUUCUUCUGCUGUUAAAUCAGCUCCCAGUGGCUCUGCUCCAGUCAUGGCUACCUCUGCAUUCUCCCUGGUCAGUUAUGAUUCUGAAGAUUCUGAUUCUGAAACUGCUUGAGAUAGAAACAACAUGAGAAUGAGGAGACUAUCAUGAAUUAUAUCUGCAUCAUCAUGAUAAUGUGAAUUUUCCUUUUAAAAGUACUUUUGUAUUAAUUUUAA
rnacentral:lncRNA from 1 species